rfam:Oryza brachyantha chromosome 3, whole genome shotgun sequence.
CCCCUGGACGACGAGGACCUGGUAUCAUAUGUGCUGGCAGGUCUCGACUUCGACUACAAUCCGGUAGUCUCUUCUGUGGCCGGGCGCUCCGAUCCAAUCACUCCGAGUGAGCUGUACGCCUUGCUGGUUGGCUUUGAGA